UACGUAGGGGGCAAGCGGUUGUCCGGAUUAUUGGGCGUAAAGAGCGUGUAGGCGGCCUGAAAGGUCAGCUGUGAAAACUCGAGGCUCAACCUCGAGACGCCGAUGGAAACCAUCAGACUAGAGUCCGGAAGAGGGGAGUGGAAUUCCUGGUGUAGCGGUGAAAUGCGCAGAUAUCAGGAAGAACACCCGUGGCUAAGGCGGCUCUCUAGUACGGUACUGGACGUUGAGACGGCGAAAGCGUGGGGAGCGAACAGG
rnacentral:rRNA from 1 species